CGUGAACGGGGGGUCGUUCGGAUCUGGCGUCGUGGGGGUCGCCGGUGCGGUGGCGCCCGAUGUCGCCGCGUUCGGUGGUGCCACCGGAGUUCGCGCC
rnacentral:tRNA from 1 species